rnacentral:lncRNA from 1 species
CUCAGAUCAAUUUAUUAAUUUUUAUUUUCAAGUCUUAUUAUUUUAAUUCACGUGAAUGAGAAAGCCUUUCGAGUCUCUUGGGAAGAACGAUAUUGGGUUUUACCAAUUAUAUUACUUGAACGAUUUGGUACGCUUGCCAAUCCGUCAACAUGUUUUUUUGGGGUCGUUGUCGGGGACUCAAGGUUUAUUUUUCUAGUAGUGUGAAUUGAUUGAAUUUGACUUGAUUGUAAUUAUUUUAGUUUUAUUUUUUUUUUAUUGCGUUUUAUUUUAUUUUUCUGUAAAAAUGCUUUUAGGGUGUGUUUCUUGUGUAUGCAGGAAACAAUACAUACUAGAAGCAAAGAAGACUAGCAAACUCUUUUAGAAGGUUUACCCGAAGCAAUUUCGCAGUCUUCGCUUGAGAUUCCUGUUUCAAAUUUUGAGGAGAUGGCUAACCAACCUCCUCCUAGACAUACAUUGGGGGACGCAGCAAACGUAGUAGGCCCCUUGAAAUUCAACAACAUUGCGGUUCCAGCUGAUAACACAACCAGCAUGGUGAUGAGUUCGGC